AAAUAUCGCUUUAAGAUGUAAUAAUAUUCUCGGGUAAGUACUAGUUAAUGGUAAAACUUAACUAACCAAUACCCGUAGUCGGAACUGAGAGGUUGACCGAUCACAUUGGGUCUGAAAAAACCCCAAUACGAAUUGUACAGCAGUGAGGAAUAUUGGUCAAUAGCCUAUAGGCUGAACCAGCAACUUGGAGGAAUGUUACUUCGACUAUGUCGUUUAAAGUUCUAGAUAGUAAACUGAUUAUGACAAAAAUCUAUCUAUGUGUCUUGGCUAAAUCUCGUGCCAGCAGCCGCGGUAAUACGAGUAAGACUAGUGUUAUUCAUCUUUAUUAGGUUUAAAGGGUACCUAGACGGUAUAGAAACCAUUUUUAUAGGGGCCUGCUUUAGCUUGGCCUUUAAAUAAUUUAUAUUAUGGUACUUAUAUACUAGAGUUAUGAGGAAGAGGAAAAUAUAGAGCCAUUAGUGUAAUUAAGAGAUAAAAUAUUUUUAAACGAAUGGAACUGGUGAGUGAAAACAGACCUCUAUUAAUAACUGACGUUGAGGGACGAAGGCUUGGGUCACGAAUAGGAUUAGAGACCCUAGUAGUCCAGGCAGACAAUUAUGAGUGUUAUAUUUUAAAAUACUAAAGUAUAAAUGAAAGUGUAAGCAUUCCACCUCAAGAGUAAUGCGGCAACGCAGGAACUGAAAUCAUUAGACCGUUUCUGAAACCAGUAGUGAAGUAUGUUAUUUAAUUCGAUGACCCUCGAAAAACCUUACCACAAUUUGAAUAUUAUGUUACGAUUAAGUAAGGGUAAGGCUUUACCUGCCCUAAAGUGUUCGAUACAUAAUACAAGUGUUGCACGGCUGUCUUCAGUUAAUGUCGUGAGAUUUAGGUUUGAUCCGCAUAAUUAACGUAAACCCAUACUUUAUAAAAGGUUCUUUUUAUAUAUACUAGCCCUCACACAAAAUUGUGU
rnacentral:rRNA from 1 species